AACGAACGCUGGCGGCAGGCUUAACACAUGCAAGUCGAGCGCCCCGCAAGGGGAGCGGCAGACGGGUGAGUAACGCGUGGGAAUCUACCCAGUUCUACGGAAUACCCAGGGAAGCUUGGACUAAUACCGUAUACGCCCUACGGGGGAAAGAUUUAUCGGAAUUGGAUGAGCCCGCGUUGGAUUAGCUAGUUGGUGGGGUAAUGGCCUACCAAGGCGACGAUCCAUAGCUGGUCUGAGAGGAUGAUCAGCCACACUGGGACUGAGACACGGCCCAGACUCCUACGGGAGGCAGCAGGGGGGAAUAUUGGACAAUGGGCGCAAGCCUGAUCCAGCCAUGCCGCGUGAGUGAUGAAGGCCUUAGGGUUGUAAAGCUCUUUCAGUGGGGACGAUAAUGACGGUACCCACAGAAGAAGCCCCGGCUAACUUCGUGCCAGCCGCCGCAGUAAUAC
rnacentral:rRNA from 1 species